UCGAUCUUAGCUCAGAUGGUAGAGUGGAGGAUUGUAGAUCCUUAGGUCGCUAGUUUGAAUCCGGCAGGUCGGA
rnacentral:ncRNA from 15 species